UUGCCUACGGGGGGCAGCAGUGGAGAAUAUUGGACAAUGGGCGCAAGCCUGAUCCAGCCAUGCCGCGUGAGUGAUGAAGGCCCUAGGGUUGUAAAGCUCUUUCACCGGUGAAGAUAAUGACGGUAACCGGAGAAGAAGCCCCGGCUAACUUCGUGCCAGCAGCCGCGGUAAUACGAAGGGGGCUAGCGUUGUUCGGAUUUACUGGGCGUAAAGCGCACGUAGGCGGACUUUUAAGUCAGGGGUGAAAUCCCGGGGCUCAACCCCGGAACUGCCUUUGAUACUGGAAGUCUUGAGUAUGGUAGAGG
rnacentral:rRNA from 1 species